rnacentral:rRNA from 1 species
UUGUUUAUGAGUACAGAUGCAGGUUGAGACGGCAGCACGAUAAACGCUAUGCUUUAUUGGUGGCGACCGGCGAACGGGUGCGUAACGCGUAUGCAAUCUGCCUUGUACAGGAGGAUAGCCCGGAGAAAUUCGGAUUAAUACUCCAUAGCACUAUCGAAUCGCAUGAUUUGAUAUUUAAAACUUCGGUGGUACAAGAUGAGCAUGCGUCCUAUUAGCUAGUUGGUGAGGUAAUAGCUCACCAAGGCGACGAUAGGUAGGGGUUCUGAGAGGAUGAUCCCCCACACUGGUACUGAGACACGGACCAGACUCCUACGGGAGGCAGCAGUGAGGAAUAUUGGUCAAUGGACGAAAGUCUGAACCAGCCAUGCCGCGUGCAGGAUGACUGCCCUAUGGGUUGUAAACUGCUUUUAUUUGGGAAGAAACCCCCCGACGUGUCGGGGGCUGACGGUACCAAACGAAUAAGGACCGGCUAACUCCGUGCCAGCAGCCGCGGUAAUACGGAGGAUGCAAGCGUUAUCCGGAUUCAUUGGGUUUAAAGGGUCCGUAGGCGGGCUUUUAAGUCAGAGGUGAAAGCCUACAGCUCAACUGUGGAACUGCCAUUGAUACUGAUUUUCUUGAAUAUGGUCGAAGUGGGCGGAAUAUGUCAUGUAGCGGUGAAAUGCUUAGAUAUGUCCUAGAACACCGAUUGCGAAGGCAGCUCACUAAAGUAGUAUUGACGCUCAGGCACGAAAGCGUGGGGAGCGAACAGGAUUAGAUACCCUGGUAGUCCACGCUGUAAACGAUGAUCACUCGUUAUUGGCGAUACACUGUCAGUGACUAAGCGAAAGUGUUAAGUGAUCCACCUGGGGAGUACGAUCGCAAGGUUGAAACUCAAAGGAAUUGACGGGGGCCCGCACAAGCGGUGGAGCAUGUGGUUUAAUUCGAUGAUACGCGAGGAACCUUACCAGGGCUUAAAUGUAGAGUGACCGCUCCCGAAAAGGAGCUUUCUUCGGACAAUUUACAAGGUGCUGCAUGGUUGUCGUCAGCUCGUGCCGUGAGGUGUUGGGUUAAGUCCCGCAACGAGCGCAACCCCUAUCUUUAGUUGCUAGCAGGUAAUGCUGAGGACUCUAAAGAAACUGCCGGUGCAAACCGUGAGGAAGGUGGGGACGACGUCAAGUCAUCACGGCCCUUACGUCCUGGGCCACACACGUGCUACAAUGGCGAGUACAGAGGGCAGCUACCAAGUGAUUGGAUGCAAAUCUCAAAAACUCGUCUCAGUUCGGAUUGAAGUCUGCAACUCGACUUCAUGAAGCUGGAAUCGCUAGUAAUCGCGUAUCAGCCAUGACGCGGUGAAUACGUUCCCGGGCCUUGUACACACCGCCCGUCAAGCCAUGGAAGCUGGGAGUGCCUGAAGUCUAUGUACCGUAACCUGCUAUGGUGCCUA